rnacentral:rRNA from 1 species
AGUCGACGGGAUUUAUUUGUAGCAAUACCGAUAAAGUUCAGUGGCGUAAGGGUGCGUAACACGUGGGCAAUCUGCCCUGAAGCGCGGGAUAGCUUGGCGAAAGCCAAAUUAAUACCGCAUGUGGCUACUGGAGGAUUCUCCGGGAUGCUAAAGACGGCGCAAGCUGUCACUUCAGGAUGAGCCCGCGGCCUAUCAGCUAGUUGGUGAGGUAACGGCUCACCAAGGCUAUGACGGGUAGCUGGUCUGAGAGGACGACCAGCCACACUGGAACUGAGACACGGUCCAGACACCUACGGGUGGCAGCAGUCGAGAAUUUUUCUCAAUGGGGGAAACCCUGAAGGAGCGACGCCGCGUGGAGGAUGAAGGUUUUCGGAUUGUAAACUCCUGUCAUUUGGGAACAAACCUUUCAUUUAACUGAUGAAAGACUGAUAGUACCAGAAGAGGAAGAGACGGCUAACUCUGUGCCAGCAGCCGCGGUAAUACAGAGGUCUCAACCGUUGUUCGGAUUCAUUGGGCGUAAAGGGUGCGUAGGCGGUCGCGCAAGUCGGAUGUGAAAUCUCAGGGCUCAACCCUGAAACUGCAUUCGAUACUGCGUGGCUAGAGUGCUGGAGAGGAGACUGGAAUUUACGGUGUAGCAGUGAAAUGCGUAGAUAUCGUAAGGAAGACCAGUGGCGAAGGCGAGUCUCUGGACAGCAACUGACGCUGAGGCACGAAGGCCAGGGGAGCAAACGGGAUUAGAUACCCCGGUAGUCCUGGCAGUAAACGGUGCACGUUUGGUGUAGGCGGA